GCGGUGGAGGAGUGCUAGGAGGUCCAUGGAUGGUGCUUCAGGUGCUGAGGCCAUAAAAACGUCCAGAGUAUCCCGAAGGCCCACUGAAGCGGUUUCAGGGGACGGGCGCAGGUUCCGAGCAGCAGGGAGCUGCUGUAGGACACCUCCAUCUCUGAAGCGUUAUCCCGCUCAACCCACAGUGCUUCCUCCUCAGUUAGUGCUGAGCUCCUGCCGCUGACCAGCUCCGUUUCCUCUCCGUGCCUCAGGUUUGUGUCUCCGUGUCCCCACCCCGCACAGGAGAAACCCCAGGGAGCGAGGAGGAAUGGUGAUGAUUUUAAGUGAAACUCCCGUCUUUUGGUGACUGGCACAGCUGGGAGCUCCCUGUGGCCAAAAGUACAGCACUGCCUCAGUGAGCAAAGAUGGCAUGCAUCACCUCGCUGCUGAGUCUCCUGUAGCCCCUAGGGAAAAAAAGGUGGAAAGGGGAAACUUUUGCCCUUAGGAGAAGGGAUGGAUCUGUCAAAGCAUGGGAUGUUUCUAAUUUGUUUGCCCCAAAUCCAGUGCUUACCGAUGAAGGCCAUAAUUCUGUAGUGCUCAUCUUCUGGGUGAUCUCCUAGGGACAAAAUCACCACAGGAAAUUAUGUGGGAGAUCAGCUGGGAACAGGGCAGUGCUAUCUCUGAAAGCCCCUCUACCAAGGAGCUCCUCAUCCAAACUGCCAGGGCCUGGGGUGGUGCCUCCCUCACAAAACCAUCAUCCCAGGGCUGUGUGGUGGGGCUUGUGUCCUGGCUGCAGCUGGACAGGCAAGGACAACCUGGAUGGACUGCCACCUCCAACCCCGUGGUUCUCACUUGUCCCUGUACACCAGGGCAAAGGAGAGCAAAGCCCUGUAACACAUCGCUGCUCAGGGCAAGAGCUAAGUGUAAAUCUCAGGAGCUCAAACUCUCGGUUCCAUUCUGUGACCUUUAGGAAACCUUUCCAAGUGCUGCCUUGCAGUGAAAGACUCUUUCUGCAGAAUAUUUAGCUUGGCUAGAAGAAGCAGACUUUACCCAGAAAUCUUCUAAAAAAGGGGAGAGAAAAAAAAAAAAAAAAAAGAUCCCUGGCCUGUUUGCGUGAGAUAUCUAAGCCCAUUUCUAACGCUCCACAGGAGGCAGGGUUAAACAGGUGAAAUGGGAUGCUGUGCAUUAAAAUUGCAGCUGAAACCUCCUAUCACUCAUUAUAGCUGUAUUAUUCUGCACCACUCCUGACAAUGGAGAGCUAAGGAGAAAGUGCACGGAAAAUUGUAGAACAGCCAUCUAAACACAUAAUGUGGCAGCUAUGACAAAAAUGAAUUGCAAAAAUGCACUUUUCCCCCUUUCCGGUGGCUGUGACUGACCAUCACAUGCAGCAGCUGAGGUACAGGGCUGGCAGGACCCCAGCACCAAACUCGAUAUCCCUAUGGGACCUGCCUUUCCAUCUGGGGCAUGGAACUGCUGAUAGAGAGGCCAAGAGCCCUCUGUAAUGUGCCUGAUUUUCUGUCUCAGCCCGUUGCCCCGUGGAGCAAAGAUGAACAGUGUUUAGCUCUUCAAAAAAUAAAAUAAAAUUGCUAGCUCAUGUAAAAGUGGGAACCCAGCUCUGUUUUCCAAAAGCCUCGGAGAAAAGGCAUGCCUCGCUGCCUCUAGAUUAGAUCACAAAUUUUCUGGCUGAUGGCAGCAUCUUAGUGUUCACCCUGAAGGCAAGGAUCUGAACAAAUUACGUUUUACUAUCACAAGUUCAUAUAUCCCUGCCGAGUUCCCACAGAAGGCAGAGGAAGGUACUUACGUGAAAUGCAGUGGCUUUGGGGAACCCAGAGGAUUUCUGCUCUUGGGAAGGAGCAGUGAGGGAACCGUUGUGCUGCGUGUGUGGUCGGCAGUCUGCGGCACUUAGCACGUGUCACCAAUUUGGUGAAAUAUAAUCCUCUGGGGGAGAAAAGGCAUGUGAUGGAUAUGUGUGCUGCAAUCUGGAAUCACUCAUGUAGUUUAUUGCCAAGCCUUUUAUUCAAUCAAAUUCUUCAUAAACACGGGAAGCGCUGAUGUUGACAUAUGCUAUCUACUGCAUCGAUGGAUGUGCUUCUGCAUCUCUUCCCUUGUCAGAAGCGUUGUCAUCAGGCCCGAGAAGUGCCCAGAAAUGAUUUUGCUACAGGAUCUCACUCUCUCCUUGCUGUAUGCACGCAGUUCUCACCGAUGCCUAUGCAUUGAGAGCAGGAUCUGACCUUCAAGAAACACAAGGUGACACUCAUGACAAAACAGGAACAGAUGCAGCUGCAUUUCUAGUCUUGGCUCUGAACUCUUCCUUUGUUCCUCUAAUUGAUUGUUUGCUACCAAUAUUAAUGUUUUCUGUAAUGAGGAUGUUUUCUGAGCAGGAGGCAGUGGCACUUGUGCUCUCAGCUCUUCUCAAUGAGCUGCUCAAGUUCAGAGCAGGCAUCAGAGUGGGCCUGGAACUCCAACAGAUCCAGGCCGCAGGGCACAUUGUGUUCAGCUCCAGAUGCUGCAGAUCUUGGCAGAAUUUAGAUACAUUUGAUUUUAUAGGCAUUUCGUGUUCCCAUCAGGAGAAUGCUAAAGACUAAGGAGGUGGAUGCACCUAAACUGAGCAAAAAUAUGUUUGUUGUUCCAAACAGCAGCCCUCACUGGAGAAUACUGAAUGCCAUUUUAUGUACCACGUUCCUGGAAAACAACCCCGGCCUGCUCCAACAUCCCUUCUCUGAGAGGUAAUCUCCAAGAAGCCCUUUCUGUAGAGCUCUGCCCCUCUGUGUUGCUCAGCCUAUGUGGCAUACAAAACCUUGUCUUUAUUAGCACAAACAUGUCCUAGAGCAAGAGGAGACCCUUAAUGAGAGAUGGGUAAGGCUGAGUUUUGACAAGGAACUCUCAACAGCUGUGAGUGCUCAGUGCCUUCCCAGUCUCAAGUUUAGCCACAUGAAUUAAACACUUUAGUUUAGGCAUAAGGCUCUUGUCCGUUUAUUUAACCUGAUUCAAGAACAAACCUUUCAACUAUUGAAGACACCUUUAAACUUCCUUCCCUUUGCAUCUUGCCAUCCUUCCUCCAGGUAGCUGUGACCAGGACGACUCCUCUGCAGGGCUGUGCCCCUGAGGUGCACAGCAGCUCCCCAUACCGGUGCUGCUCUCAGCGGUCUGUGUAGGACUGCCACUGGUCCUGGUGUACCAGCACAUCCCGGUCCUGUCCUUGUCCUGCUGGGAGUCUUCCCUGCUCAAGAGGCAUUUUUGGAUACAAAUAAGUAGCUGUGGCUGUGAGAGGCGGUGUAUCACAUAGGCUGGCAGAGGAAUGGCACAAGUGUAUCUUAGAACUGGAGGGUCUGCACUUUGUCCCUCCGCCCUGCCCCUGUGCAGAUGUGUACACAAGUGUGUGUAGGAAAGGCACGUCUUGGGUUUUUACAGGGAUGCAAACCAUUUUUGCAGCACUUUGAGAGAAACAAAGAUAAUACCUUCUCAAACAUCCCGGUGUAAUCCCAUACAGAACGGCUCUCUGAGUUUUUCUGUUUGUUUUACGUGGGAGGGCGAGGGAUUUUCACAACCAAACUUCAAAGGUUAAAACCAGUGAAGUCAGCAGGAAAAUAUGUGAAUUUAACCUUUGGCUGUAGCUAUGUAAACCACUUAAUUUCAUGAAGUUUGCACUGGAAUGACAGAAGGUUUGAAUGUUCCGCUUGUCAGAAGGAUGUAAGCUAUGAGCGUGGGGAAGAAGAGCAAAACGGCUCAGUGAAGUGUUCUUUAAUGACUGCUUGUGAGCACACUCGGUAUGAAUUCAUUUCAUGGCAAUGCACAUGCAGAUAACACAGCCUUCUCCAGGAUUUGUGUAGGCUUCUGCCAUCCCUUAUCUCUGUCUUGAUGUGGAACAAUGCAUGAAGGUUGGUGGUGCUGGGGCAAGGACCCCACCAGUUACUGUUACCACAGGGACCGCUCAGAGGGGAAAAACAGCUCAUUCUCCUCGCAUCCCUCCCUGAACCUCAUCAGGACAGCUGCAGAGGGGGCAUCCUGGAAACAUUUGCUUUCCUGACCUCAAGAUGUUUUCUCCAUGAGAGAGGCCUGAGAAGAUCAGCGCAAGAUAUUUCCAGUCAGUGAGGCGUCAGUGCUCACUUGGGAUGCGACGCGUGGACCUGGUGGUGAUGUGCAGCAGGUGGCUGUGGGAAGGCACACACAGCAUGGCCCUGGGAAUGAGGGGAGGCUGGGCUUGAUGCAGAGCCACAGCAACACUCACUUGAGAAACUGGGCAAAAUAUUCCUGUGGUAACACUGAAACCCAUUUUGCUUGAUAGGAAAGAUUUAUAAUGACAUACCGUACAUUUUUUGCUGUGCCUUAGUUUCCCAGGAACAAAGGGGCAAUAAAAUGUGUUUUCUCGA